UUUUUGCAUUGCUGGAACUGGGGUGGAUGCGGUUUCCGUAUGAUGCAACCAGCCCACGGGCCAGCAGUUUGACACCCCUGCUUUCUUUGUUCACUAAACCAAUGUUUAAAUCACAGCACCUUGCAAGCUGUGCCCCAAAGUAGCAUGAAGCAGCUCCGUCAAUAAGAGACUGGCUGGCUGAGGAAUUCUAGGAGUUGAAAUCCACAAGCCUUAAAGUUGCCACGUUCGAAGACCCCUGAUCUAAUGCAACAGUGUCUCUCAACUUCAAGAUGUGUGGACUUCAAUUGAUUGCACAUGAAGAGAUGUUCCAAGUAUUGCCCAGUGGCAUGACAAUAUUGGGCCAGUACUGUACUAAACUUCUCCAAAUACACAGAACAAGCACAGUGUUUCUCAACCUUGACAAUUUUAAGGCAUGUGGACUUCCAACUCCCAGAAUUCCACAGCCAGCAUUGCUGGCUGUGGAAUUCUGGGAGUUGAAGUCCACAUACCUUAAAAUUGUCAAGGUUGAGAAACACUGAUUACAGUAUGAGAGUCAUCCUAAAUUCGGCAAAUAAAGCAGGCCAGAUUAGUUGUGGUUUUAUUGAUUUGAUUUAUACAAUCAAAUGUGACUCUGGCAGCUCGUACAAUUAAGUAACAAAAAAAAAUAGUUACUAAUAAACCCAAAUUUUAAAAAGCACUAAAAACCAAUUAAAACUAUGUUACCUUUCUUUCUUUGGAGCUGGACUUUCUAUUCUAGGGCGCUGUAUGUUUUAUUAAUCUACACUGAACUACCCAAUUUUAUUUUUUUGAAAAAGAAUUUGUAACACUGCAGUGAAAUAAAUUUUGAAAUGCUGCUCAGUAAACAGAUGGCCUAUGCUGCUAUUGAAUGUGAUGGCUUCUCUUUACCAUACCUUGAUUAAAAUAGAGCUGCUCUUUAAAUGCAUAGCCUCUUUGAACAGAUUCUCUCCCUCACAGCUUGCUUUAAAAUACUCUGCAGAGAACAUGAGAAGAGGAACUUGCAAUUAAUAAGCGUACCUGGAAUAUUGACUGUAUAUUACAAAUGACCCCUCAUACGGGGAAAGGAAAUAUGACUACUUAGAAUGGCUCCUCUGGUGAGUGGUGGCUAGUGACAAAAUGGGAAUUAUUUGGAUGCUAAUCUGUCAAAAAAAAAAAAAAGGACCAGGUUACAUACAGAUACCUACCAUUCUUAUUUUCAAAGGUUUAAAGACUUUAUAGCUAUUCUAGGGAGUGUAGUCAUGAUCUUUACCAAAAUUUAUAUGCUGCCUACUCUUUAAAUUCUGGCAGCUUACAGCAUUGGAGUAAAACAUUAAUAGAACCAUAAAAAUCUGUCCAUUACAUCAGCAAAUAAUAAAGCUACAAACUCAUAAAUCUGUCUUAGGACUUUGUCAUCUUUCAAAAACAUUGUCUGGCACACCUAACUUGGGAGGCAGAGAGCUAAUACUGAGGAAGUUAAUCCAGUAUCCAGGUCUGAGCCUCCAGUAUCUUUCAAACAGGACAUCUAAACCAUCCUAUCCCUAGUAGAAUCACUCUGUUGGGAUAGAGCUUGAAAACGGAAGUUUGGAAGUUAACAACGUGAGGGUCCCUUAAGAUCUAUGCAAUGUACCAGCACGUCACACUUAUUUUAUUUAGAAAAAUAUCCCCAAAUAAUCACUGAUGCCCAUCAAAGGGAGUACAGGAUUUUUUCUGCAUUUAAAAGUACAUGAAGCUAUCGCUCACCAAGCGAGGUUCAGCACAUUGUAGGCCUGCAGCUUGCAAUUUGUCAAGAAAUUUCAUGACUUGUCCCAUUUUUGGUCUAUCCUAAAAGUUGGAAAUGGAACACAGUUAACCAUUCUCAUUUUCAAGACCUCCAAGACAUAAAGUAAAAAGCUAGCAACAAUAGUUGUGCACUUUUUUGGGGGGUGGGCAAGAGUAUUAGUGGAAACCUGUUGCCUUCCUCAAAAUCUGCCAUUACUAUCCUUAGGGAGGAAGGGGGGAAUCACAUGGCUGAAAACUAGUCAUUCAUUUGGCUGAAGAAUUUCAGUCAUAGGGGUUCAUGUCAUCUACAUACUGCCGUUCCCUGGUAUGCCAAAUGAUUCUGCUUUUCUAGGAUUUCAGACGGUAUUUUCUCAGUUGUUCGGCUGCUUAGCUAAAGUCCUUUCUACGUUCCCAGCAACAAAAAGGUUAAGAAAAUUCACCCGCCGUAAGAAAAAGCUAGUCAAUCUAGACACAUCUCUAUAUCUAGAGUCCGAAACUUCAUUUGCUUCAAAUUAUCGUCCUUCAAAAUGGCCCACCUUGCCAAAACAAAAAAACAAACAAAAAAAAACAAGGGUGACUCAACACAAGUAAGUCAUCUUGGUUGGUGUUUAUUGAAGCCGUUAAAGACAUGUCCUCAUUUUCGCCAGCACUAGAAAGCAAGGUUCCACAGGACUGCACCUGGUUAAAGCCAUACAAAUGGACUAAGGGUUGUGCUGGAUACAUCUGCAGUCUCCAUUGAAAAGUUAAAAACAUCAAUAAACUGAAUACACGAGAGUGAACUUUCAUUUACAGCAUGGGCAUGGUUAAGUUCAAUCACUUUCAAUGUGUUAAAUUAAAUAAAAUACGUACAAGUUCGGUUUAAACGAGUUUUAAAAUGCCAAUAGAAGUGCAAACUUAAAAAUCAAGCAGCAUAAAACAAAAAUUUUGAUGGCGGGCCAAUCCUUAACUGAUUUAUAUUUGCCUUAUCUUCAAGUCCAAUAUAUUAUUACUUUAGUUUAAAUGUGAACAGCAGAUGCAAUUAUUAUAUGCAAUAUAAAUAGUCAUGUAGUAAUUCUAACAGUCUUCCACAAAAGUGAAUCUUGAAAAUAAAGUUAAUGGUAGUUUUAAACAUAAAGGCUGUUUUGCAUUUGGCCUUUGGUUCUAAUUCUUGAGAACACCAGAAAAGACAAUGGUGCAGCUUUCCAAAGUUGCUAGACUUUGGCAACUGACAAACAUUACAUCACUUAACAGUCUCCUUCUUUUGAAAAACGAGGAGCAUUCACUUGCAAAGUGGGAGAGUAUGGUUGGGGAGAGGAGCAUUCCAAAUUCUGAGUCCCUAAGAUCUUUUGUAGAACUGGGAAGUAAUAUGCUAUUGGCUUUUUGUUUAGCAAAUCCAACAUUCAUUUUAUGCAAAUAAAAAAUCCGGUUGCCUACAGUUUUCAUAUACUAAGUAAAUUAUCUUGGUGCAUGACAAAAAUUUUAAUAAAACCAGUUGGGCUUUGAGACCUAGCUAGUGCUCUUAGAACAUCAGCAAAUAAUUUGUUGUUUUUCCCCCAUACCCCAGUUUGAUUUUAAGGUUUUAUUUUCCAGAAUUCAAUUGUAUCAUCCAGCUUCCAUAAUCAUCUUGGGAACGGCUAACCCAUCAAAAAAAAAAAAAAAAAA